CCUGGACAUGUGCUCCCUUUGCGGCCGGUGCGCUUUCUCCAGCCCCAGCUUGGUGAAGAUGCCUACAAGCACCAUGACGGCCACCACCCCGCAGAUGAUGUAAACGAUCAGGAGGGCACACCGCCGCGCCUCCUCUGCGCGCCCAGAUCCAGUGCAACGCAAGGCCUGGACACCUAGCUUCAGCCACCCUCCCGCGCCUGGAGUCCGCGCGUGGGUCUCCGGAGACGGCUGGCACCUGUGCUCCCGGAGCCCCCCAGACAUCCUCACCCGAUGUGGCGCAGUCCGGCCUUGCUUCCUCGGCUUCCAGCCUCCGGUCGUCGCCCGUCAGCAUUUCCAAAUCUGCCCUCUCCACUCAGCAGAUUCCAGCCAUCCGUCGGCCCUCUCUCAUUUCUCCCACUUCUGUCCUCUGCUUGAAUUUGACUCCAAUAGCCCCCCAAACAGCAUUUGCACCAAAGCUGCGACACCGAAUUUAGAUCUCCACACGCCCCUGCGUUUUUGUUUUUUUAAUUGCAUUAACUAAGUAUACACUUUGCAGUCGGCUGGGCGAUCUGCAGGGAAAUGAUGCCUCCAACCACCCCACCCCCUGCCCUGGGCUUCAGUCAGGGGCUUCUCGAGGCAUUUUCAAAGCACCAAAAAGUUGGACCACAUAAAAUGACAUAGUGGGUUCUCUUUAACUGAAAAAGCAUGCUAGAGAGGUGGUUGCUGGCCUCUCUUGUAAGUUUUCUCAGAAUGACAGGGAGCUAAGCUAAUUGUGCCUUCUCUUCGAAAAAUGUCACCUACUGUCUUCCGAAAGACUAGCAUAGAAUGACCCUAUUCCAGGAAAAAAACGAACCAGGCCGACCCUGACCCAGCAUAUCCAGGAGGAUGCCAGCCCUCGGAGACUCACUGAAUUAUGGGCUGUAUUUUGUCCCAAACCCACCUGGACAAGGUGUGAGAUUGUUCAGUCUAAAUGCAUCAGAGCCAUCGGAAUGAGGUUCCCGAAAUAGGGUAGUGUGACAUGUCUGUCGACCCACACCCACCACCACUGUGUGAGCCUCUACAAACACAAGCAUUGGUGUGUGAGAGCUAAUGAUAGCUGACAUUUAUUCGAUGCUUACAACAUACCCACUAAGCUUGUCUUUUCUAAAAUCACCUCCUCACAGAUGCUCAAAGCAGUGCCUGGCAUCUCGCAGACAAUCUGGGAAUAGUUGCUAAACCACUUGAGUGACUGAUCUUAUUUAACUCUAUCUCUAGGUAAUAUUACCGGGCCCACACAACAGAGGGAGAGACUGAGGCCCAAAGCAAUUAAACCAAUUGCCCAUAGUAGCGCAGCAAGGGACGCUACCCAGUUGGCAUUUGACCCAACAAAUGUGACUCCUGGGUCUGUGUUCUAACCAUUCCAGGUAGUGCCUUCCUAAAAUAGGCCUCCAGACUCCCUGUCCAUCUGACAUUACGUUAUAUAUUUGGUUUUUGCCUGUCUCCUGUCUCCACACGUCGAUUGGUAAACUCCAGGACAGAAAGGGGCCUUGAUUCCUGCAGCAUCUCCCAGCACCUACAGCAGCGAGAAGCAUGACAAACACUCAAAAAAUACUUAGAGGCUGUUUUGAUUAACUUACUAAGCUCUCUUACGCAAGACCGUUGGUGUUAAACCAAGGGAGGAAAGGAACCCGUACGACAGGAACAGACAAUGGAGUUUCUGCUGUCAGGACCACGCAGAGGGAUUGGGAUAUUUCUAGGCACUAAAUCAGAAUAGGAAAGGACUGUUCCAGCAGGCCUGCCGAGGUCCAGGAAGCUGAGGCUCAAAGAGGUUAAGGGCUUUGUCCCAAGGUCACAUGGUCAGCAAAUGGGAAAGCUGGGUGCAGAAUGCCAGACUCCUAACCUCUGCUUUCCUGCUUGCCCACCCCCACCGCACCCCACCAAGGCACCUCCCAGCAAGCAUAGAUAGGGCUGGGAGCCUAGGUCAGUGGCCUGGUAGAAGAAUAGGUCACAGACACCUUCCCACAAGAGUUGGGGGUGUUCAGAUACUUCUAAAUUUGAUUUUAAGAAAGAGGAAAAAAAAGCACCUUCGCCAAAAGAGACAAAAUCUAGACAGCAAAGUCCAUUUUAGAAUGUCUCCAAUCUCUGUAAAAUAUUGCCUGUCACCAGAACAUUUGAGUCCGGUUCUCAGAGGAGACUCACUCAGGCUGCUGUUCCCGGCUUUAAUUAACAGAGACUGCCCCCUGUUUGUCACAAGGAGAGUGCAGGGAGCCUGCUUCAGAAAGAAGCCGACCUAAUAGACCGACCUUCGCGGCUUAUUUGCCAGAUCCCAAACUCUAAACCUGCUCCCCCUGUGAGCUUCACCCAAAGCAAAUUCCCUUGCUGUUCCCGCCUGCCCCUCUGGAAUAUCGCCCACACCUGUUUCCCAAGCCUUUGAAAAAUAUGUACAAGAAGGGGGGAAUCAGGCUCAUUUUACUCUUUAAAGGAAGAAAGCCACUUUCCUCUGGGUAUGUCAACUCAGUAAAUAGAGUCACUGCCGCCUAA